AACGAACGCUGGCGGCAUGCCUAACACAUGCAAGUCGAACGAGGCCCUUCGGGGUUUAGUGGCGCACGGGUGCGUAACGCGUGGGAAUCUGCCCUUUGGUUCGGAAUAACAGCUGGAAACGGCUGCUAGUACCGGAUGAUGACGAAAGUCCAAAGAUUUAUCGCCAGAGGAUGAGCCCGCGUUGGAUUAGGUAGUUGGUGGGGUAAAGGCCUACCAAGCCGACGAUCCAUAGCUGGUCUGAGAGGAUGAUCAGCCACACUGGGACUGAGACACGGCCCAGACUCCUACGGGAGGCAGCAGUGGGGAAUAUUGGACAAUGGGCGCAAGCCUGAUCCAGCAAUGCCGCGUGAGUGAUGAAGGCCCUAGGGUUGUAAAGCUCUUUUACCCGGGAAGAUAAUGGCUGUACCGGGAGAAUAAGCCCCGGCUAACUCCGUG
rnacentral:rRNA from 1 species